UAAACAGCGAAACUUGCGGACGGCUCAUUAAAUCAGUUAUCGUUUAUUUGAUAGCACCUACUACAUGGAUAACUGUGGUAAUUCUAGAGCUAAUACAUGCUAAAAAUCCCGACUUCGGAAGGGAUGUAUUUAUUAGAUUAAAAACCAAUGCCCUUCGGGGCUCUCUGGUGAUUCAUAAUAACUGCUCGAAUCGCAUGGCCUUGCGCCGGCGAUGGCUCAUUCAAAUUUCUGCCCUAUCAACUUUCGACGGCUGGGUCUUGGCCAGCCAUGGUGACAACGGGUAACGGAGGGUUAGGGCUCGACCCCGGAGAAGGAGCCUGAGAGACGGCUACUACAUCCAAGGAAGGCAGCAGGCGCGCAAAUUACCCAAUCCCAAUUCGGGGAGGUAGUGACAAUAAAUACUGAUACAGGGCUCUUUUGGGUCUUGUAAUCGGAAUGAGAACAAUUUAAAUCCCUUAACGAGGAACAAUUGGAGGGCAAGUCUGGUGCCAGCAGCCGCGGUAAUUCCAGCUCCAAUAGCGUAUAUUAAAGUUGUUGCAGUUAAAAAGCUCGUAGUUGAACCUUGGGCCUGGCUGGCCGGUCCGCCUCACCGCGUGCACUGGUCCGGCCGGGCCUUUCCCUCUGGGGAGCCGCAUGCCCUUCACUGGGCGUGUCGGGGAACCAGGACUUUUACUGUGAAAAAAUUAGAGUGUUCAAAGCAGGCCUAUGCUCGAAUACAUUAGCAUGGAAUAAUAGAAUAGGACGUGUGGUUCUAUUUUGUUGGUUUCUAGGACCGCCGUAAUGAUUAAUAGGGACAGUCGGGGGCGUCAGUAUUCAAUUGUCAGAGGUGAAAUUCUUGGAUUUAUUGAAGACUAACUGCUGCGAAAGCGUUCGCCAAGGAUGUUUUCAUUAAUCAGGAACGAAAGUUAGGGGAUCGAAGACGAUCAGAUACCGUCGUAGUCUUAACCAUAAACUAUGCCGACUCGGGAUCGGACGAUGUUAUUUUUUGACUCGUUCGGCACCGUAUACGAAAGUAAAGUUUCUGGG
rnacentral:rRNA from 1 species